rnacentral:rRNA from 1 species
AUUGAACGCUGGCGGCAGGCCUAAUACAUGCAAGUCGAACGAGUGGCGGACGGGUGAGUAACGUCUGGGAAACUGCCUGAUGAAGGGGGAUAACUACUGGAAACGGUAGCUAAUACCGCAUACCAUCGGAUGUGCCCAGAUGGGAUUAGCGAGUAGGUGGGGUAAAGGCUCACCUCGGCGACGAUCCCUAGCUGGUCGUGGAGGGUGACCGGCCACACUGGGACUGAGACACGGUCCAGACUCCUAUGGGAGGCAGCAGGGGGGAAUAUUGCACAAUGGGGGCAAGCCUGAUGCAGCCAUGCCGCGUGUAUGAAGAAGGCCUUCGGGUUGUAAAGUACUUUCAGCGGGGAAGCGUUACCCGCAGAAGAAGCACCGGCUAACUCCGUGCCAGCCGCCGCGGUAAUUC